rnacentral:rRNA from 1 species
GUCGAACGGAAAGGCCCUGCUUUUGUGGGGUGCUCGAGUGGCGAACGGGUGAGUAACACGUGAGUAACCUGCCCUUGACUUUGGGAUAACUUCAGGAAACUGGGGCUAAUACCGGAUAGGAGCUCCUGCUGCAUGGUGGGGGUUGGAAAGUUUCGGCGGUUGGGGAUGGACUCGCGGCUUAUCAGCUUGUUGGUGGGGUAGUGGCUUACCAAGGCUUUGACGGGUAGCCGGCCUGAGAGGGUGACCGGCCACAUUGGGACUGAGAUACGGCCCAGACUCCUACGGGAGGCAGCAGUGGGGAAUAUUGCACAAUGGGCGGAAGCCUGAUGCAGCAACGCCGCGUGCGGGAUGACGGCCUUCGGGUUGUAAACCGCUUUCGCCUGUGACGAAGCGUGAGUGACGGUAAUGGGUAAAGAAGCACCGGCUAACUACGUGCC